AGCAGCCGCGGUAAUUCCAGCUCCAAUAGCGUAUAUUAAAGUUGUUGCAGUUAAAAAAGCUCGUAGUUGAAUUUCGGGAUCAGAUUGUCGGUCGUGCCUCGGUACGCACUGGCAUUAUUGGUUCCUACCUUCUGAAGAACCGCGAUGUCAUUAAUUUGGUGUCGUGGGGAAUCAGGACUGUUACUUUGAAAAAAUUAGAGUGUUUAAAGCAGGCGCACGCUUGAAUACAUUAGCAUGGAAUAAUGAAAUAGGACGUUUGAUUCUAUUUUGUUGGUUUCUAGGAUCGACGUAAUGAUUAAUAGGGAUAGUUGGGGGCAUUAGUAUUCAAUUGUCAGAGGUGAAAUUCUUGGAUUUAUUGAAGACUAACUACUGCGAAAGCAUUUGCCACGGAUGUUUUCAUUAAUCAAGAACGAAAGUUAGGGGAUCGAAGACGAUCAGAUACCGUCGUAGUCUUAACCAUAAACUAUGCCGACUAGGGAUCGGAUGAUGUUAAUUUUUAAUGUACUCAUUCGGCGCCUUA
rnacentral:rRNA from 1 species